AUAUGAAGACUGCAGGCAGCGGAAGUGUUUAUUUCUUCACUAAGCCGAGGCGAAGCCCCCUCAGCUGCUUUCAGUCUGUCUUGAGGAGUGAGGCCAGUCGGACGCCUCAUUGAUCAUUUCAAGGUAAACAGGAGAUAGUAGUUUCAGGUCUGCAGGGAGGCCACGUCAGGAGAUAAAGAUCGAACCUAACCCAACACAAGACCAGAAUCGCCAACAACAGCAGGAAUAGAACUCCUGAAGACAAAACUGCACGUUGAAACCUCUGCGUCUGAAAAGUGAAGCCCAGUCACUUAAAUGAAGAGAAGAUGAUUGGGGACAAUCUAUGGAGUAGAGGUCGGACCCAUGAGGCAGCAAGAGAAACGGAGAACGAGUGGAGAGAUGUAAGAAAUUAUUCUGAUCUCAAUCGCCAUUUACUUGGAACACAACAAAUGGAAAAAAAAACUUCUUGACAUGUUGAAGAUGUUCGGAAACAGUCCCGUGUAACUUUGGAUUUCUUAUCUAUUAAACUAACAAUUUGCUGCGUGACGGCAUCUGUCAGUGCAUCUUUCUGUUAGCUGAUAAAGUCCCAGAAGAAGCUUUGCAUUUUGUAAAUGUUUAAUCAUUUUAAAUAGGAAACACAUGCGGCUCUGAAGGUUAUCCUCAUUAGUUUGUGACCUUUUAUUUUACCCUCCAUUACUUUUUAUCACAUGUUUUGAUUUGCAGCAGAGCAGAAGCAAAUACGCAAUGAAACUAUCCAGAAAUGGUGGAUAAAAAUGUUCCAAAAACGCCCACAGGUAGUACAUUUAUUUCCCCGCAGUCAGUGUUGUUUUGAGCAGUUAGGCCAUAUCGAACGCCCGACACUGGCCACCUUUCUAAAGCGACUACGUUGAGCCCAUUUGAUCGUCUCCACAAAUGUUUACUCGUAAAUAACGUCAUGGAUAUUGGACGUUAAAGCAACCUGCAUUAUCAGGAACCAAGGUCAAAGGUAUUUCUGAAUGACUCAAGUUAAUGUCUUAAAGUCACUUGAACUACUGUGGUACACAGUUAUUUGGGGGCAGCUUUGCAAUCAAAGUAUCCGUUCACAGGCAUCCACAUGUGGAGAAUAACUUUACGCUUAAACGAAAGCAGGCGACGUGUUUGACAAAUAAUGCCUGUUUCGAUCAGUGUUUCUUUUUCAAAUGCACAGAUGGUCAGAAUAUUCCCAAAAUAACGAGCUGUGUUUACAGAAAUCCCGAAAAAUCCUAACCAGCUAAUCAGUAACCCUUGUUUUAGUAGAACAGACAAAUAAAAAUGUAACAGCGGCGCUUGAAUCAACCCUUUAACACCGGCAGAAAUUAAACAUUACACAACAAAAGAUCAAAAAUCGCCUUUAUAAAUUCUGUAUUUUAUGAGAGCUGUCAGAUCAUCUUAUGGAACAAAAACGUAUGGGCUUGAUCUCCCAACAAACCAGACUGUUCACACAAAUGUCUCAUAAUGAGACCUAAGACGAAGCUUUACUUCUGCAGGUGAUUCAAAGUAAUGAGGUUCUUCUAAUUGAAUCACACGAUUCGAUUUUGAGGCCAUCCAGAGAGAUGGUAGCCUGUGCGUGGUGUUCAAACAAAGGUCAGGGCAACGUGGGGAGAAGGAGACAACAGCUGGUGUCAUAAUUCUUGAGGACUUCAGCUGUGUAGGGAAAGAGGGACUGCGACGAGUAAAACCAUUAGACGCCCACGACGAAAGCAAAGUAUAAGAAAACCCAGCCGCCUGAGCGGAGGACCUUCAGAUGGUCCUCACAGAUUAGUUUCCUCCACUCAUGAAGACACGCGUUGAUAAGGCGUCAGAGUAUAGAGGACUUUAAAGAAAGCCACUCCCUCCCUUGCUCACGUCUGGCUCUCCGUACUCACCUGUUCCAGCCAGGCGCGCUUUCCCUCCGACAAACACACCUGACCUGCUCCAGAUGCUUUCCAUUUCCCCACGGUAGUCAACAGCAGAUGACGUAUGUCACGCCUGCAUGUCUCUGAUUCCUCGCCUACUCCUCGCCCCUUCCUGUUCUUGAUCUCAGCCUUUUUUCACGGUGUUAAAUAUUUUGAGCUCGCUCCCCGUUUGAUGUCUUUCUGUUUUUUUUUUGUCUUUCCUGUUCCGUGUCAGUCACAGUUACAGAUCCGUUAUUAUGAUGAAAUGUGUUGAUCAUACAGCUGCUUUACAUGUUUGAGUCCAAGAGGAGAAUCACACAUUGCUGCUCUCUGACACUUGAUUGAUUGACACAAAUCUGUGUUAUCUUUUAUUUUUCUCCUUGACAAUGUUUUCAUUCACGUCUACAUAAUGUAUAACAUAAUAAUAUUUAGUUCUGUUUAUUAUUGUAUUUUACCUAGAAAUCCUGUGAUUGAAUUUAGGAAGUGAUUCUGACAAUAAGGCACUGAUGAACAGGAGAUGGCUGGACUUCUUAGUUUUGAUAAGCUUCCAUGUUCACAAUAAGAUGAUUUUCUCCAGUCGAGCUGUAAUGCGAACUUGGGGAAUUCCCCGCCACAAUGUUCGAUGUAGAAAAUUGGUCAUUUUGAAUUUUAGCACCCGGUUUAUGCUCAUCCCAUUAUGACCACGCUGUACCCGUUUUAGUAAACGCUUCCGACAGGAUGACGUGGCUUAAUCUGGUUUCUUGAACACUCACUGUACUCAUGUGGCCUCACCACCACAACACGUCUAAACCCUUUGGAGCUUCUUUUGGAUGUUUGUGGAGUAACAGAAGUUAUGCUUUAUGGAUGUACAACCUUUGGAGCAUAUAUCGAAAGAUAUCCCAUUACCAGUACCAUCAAAGAUUAAAGUCAUUCUUAAAGCAAACAGGUUUAAACCCAGUAUUAUUAUUAUUAUUAUAUUAGGAAGCUGGUGGUUCGCGACAGACAUUUGCUCUGCUUUUAACAGUCUGUGUUUCUUUAAUAAUGUCAUGACUGGCUUUUGAAGGAGCCUGGAGGCCCUUCUUUCAUUAUUCUCCAUCGCGAGAGAAGAGAACUAAACCUCUCUUCACUUGGAGUCUUUAAGAGCGUGACCCUCAAUCCCUGAGAAUAUGUGGCGGUGCUUUCAUAAUGGACAUAGACCUUGAAAGAAGAAAAUUAAUAUUCUUCUUGGACACCCUCACAUCUAUUGUUCCUCUGCAAAUCUGCAGUGAAAAGCCGUCUGGAUGAUGAGUGAUGAGCACUAGAAAGUCAUGAGAAAACAUCUCAAAUUCUGCUUGAUGUGGAUUCACUAAUUUGCUUAAUAAUCAAUAAAA
ensembl:lncRNA